rnacentral:rRNA from 1 species
GACGAACGCUGGCGGCGUGCUUAACACAUGCAAGUCGAACGGAAAGGCCCUGCUUUUGUGGGGUGCUCGAGUGGCGAACGGGUGAGUAACACGUGAGUAACCUGCCCUUGACUUUGGGAUAACUUUAGGAAACUGGGGCUAAUACCGGAUAGGAGCUCCUGCUGCAUGGUGGGGGUUGGAAAGUUUCGGCGGUUGGGGAUGGACUCGCGGCUUAUCAGCUUGUUGGUGGGGUAGUGGCUUACCAAGGCUUUGACGGGUAGCCGGCCUGAGAGGGUGACCGGCCGCAUUGGGACUGAGAUACGGCCCAGACUCCUACGGGAGGCAACAGUGGGGAAUAUUGCACAAUGGACGGAAGCCUGAUGCAGCAACGCCGCGUGCGGGAUGACGGCCUUCGGGUUGUAAACCGCUUUCGCCUGUAACGAAGCGUGAGUGACGGUAAUGGGUAAAGAAGCACCGGCUAACUACGUG